rnacentral:rRNA from 1 species
CAAGUGCGUAGGCAUAGAGCCUACGCUUUUGUCCACCGUAGGGAGGUGGACGAAUAAGGGCUGGGCAAGACCGGUGCCAGCCGCCGCGGUAAUACCGGCAGCCCGAGUGAUGGCCGAUCUUAUUGGGCCUAAAGCGUCCGUAGCUGGCCGCGCAAGUCUAUCGGAAAAUCCACCCGCUCAACGGGUGGGCGUCCGGUAGAAACUGCGUGGCUUGGGACCGGAAGGCGCGACGGGUACGUCCGGGGUAGGAGUGAAAUCCUGUAAUCCUGGACGGACCGCCGAUGGCGAAAGCACGUCGCGAGAACGGAUCCGACAGUGAGGGACGAAAGCUAGGGUCUCGAACCGGAUUAGAUACCCGGGUAGUCCUAGCCGUAAACAAUGCCUGCUAGGUGUGGCUCCCACUACGAGUGGGUGCUGUGCCGUAGGGAAGCCGCUAAGCAGGCCGCCUGGGAAGUACGUCCGCAAGGAUGAAACUUAAAGGAAUUGGCGGGGGAGCACUACAACCAGAGGAGCCUGCGGUUUAAUUGGACUCAACGCCGGACAUCUCACCAGCAUCGACUGUAGUAAUGACGAUCAGGUUGAUGACCUUAUCCGAGCUUCAGAGAGGAGGUGCAUGGCCGCCGUCAGCUCGUACCGUGAGGCGUCCUGUUAAGUCAGGCAACGAGCGAGACCCGCAUCCUUACUUGCCAGCAGCACUGCGAAGUGGCUGGGGACAGUAGGGAGACCGCCGUGGCCAACACGGAGGAAGGAACGGGCAACGGUAGGUCAGUAUGCCCCGAAUGUGCUGGGCAACACGCGGGCUACAAUGGUCAGGACAAAGGGUUCCUACUCCGAAAGGAGACGGUAAUCUCAGAAACCUGAUCGUAGUUCGGAUUGUGGGCUGCAACUCGCCCACAUGA